UGGACAUCAGCAGCUUCAUAGCUGGACAUCAGGCACAUUACAGCUGUUUCCCUUUUCAGCAACAGAGGCCUUGGCAUGCUCUUACCUAGUGUUAAUUUUUUUCCCUGUAUGUUUUUCGUGCAAUGGCUAGUUCAGCGGCUUCACUUAAAGUGAUUGAUGUUACACCUGUUCCAUGGGACAACGUAUACAGGUUGUCCCACGCAACGUUAGAAAACUUUAAAAAUAUACAAAUGCCACCUAGCUGCACAGAACCUAGGUAAUAUUGUUUGCUGUCGAUUGGAGAAACGUGGAUUUUUUUGCAUUUUGUCUAAUUACACAAUUAGGCUUAGAUCAAUUAAUCAACUUCUCAAAUAUUAUAAUUAGAUGAAAACUGUGAAUUAGGAAAAGGAAAUUGUAGGGCAACAUGAAAAAUUCCCAGUACAGGUUUCUGUGGCUUAAUAUAUGUUUUUUCGAGCAUGAAAAAAGCCCGAGAAUACCCGCGAAGUGGUUCGAGCGGCCAGUCUCGCAGUAAUUUUCCGUGUAUUUGAGGGCUUGCCCUGUAGACACAUGCCCUGUAUAGGCAUGUGAGUUCCAGUAAGAAAAUUAAAAUACUGAAGGAGCCCAACAUGAUGUAUUUCAGGACUAGUGUAUAAUGUAAAUUACUAUGUGGUAAAAAUGAAAAACUGAAACAACAAGACUGUGCAAGGUAGAGGUGUGCAGGUGUGUGCAUAAGCAUAAUGACGAAAACCUCGUGCAAGUUCAUAAAAAUAUUCAUUAGGUUGGUUUCUGUAACAUUAUUGUCAUCGUUCUUCAUCGCAUUAUUAUUGUAAAAAUGUGAUCUCUAGUAUUGCACGAUUAAAAACACAGUUCAAAUACAGCAUUUACUUGCACCUUCACAUCCAGAGGAACAGAGAGGAAUGUUAAAAAAUUUUUUUUGCUUCUCCGAGUUUCACUUGAGGUCCUUCUCACGUUUGCUGAGCUGUUUAAAAAGGUAUCAUAGACACCUUCUAGGGUUUACAGGCAGCAUGAGUACAUUGUGCCAGAUUGUGCAGGAGGUGAAGAGGUCGUAGUGUCUAUAGUGGUGUCCGGUAAAUGCAAGUUUAUUGCAUGAUGCAUUAUGCUUAGCACCAGUUAUAUUAUCAUUUUAGCAAUAUCGUUGUUUUCCAGAUAUAUGUCAUUCAAUGUAUGUUCAAAGGACUGCACUUUUAAAAGAGUUGCUCAUUCUCUAAGUCCACCGUUCGGUGCUGUGAAAUGCAUGUACGUUGGACAGCAUAGUGUUUGGCCUUCAGCUGACGGUAGUAUUGGGCCAUUUGCAUGCACAUAAAGUACCAUUAAGACAAAUGUGAAAAGACAAGUGAAAAUAUGAUACAGCCAUGUAGUGAAACUUACAAAUAAGCAAAUUGUUUGAUGCCAUCCCUAGGAAAGUAGGCAAAAAUACAAGAAUGUGCUUAGGUGCUAAACAGUACCUAUGUUCCAGGCAUAUGGCCUUUUACUGCCAUGUACCUUAACAGUUCAUUAUUUAACACUGCAACACUAUUUGCCUUAUUUAUGUCUAACUGCUCUGAAUUCGAAAAUUUUCAUUGAUUGGAAUAUGAAGGUUAUGGCAGUGUCUCGAGUCACUGCCAGAUUUAAAUUUAUAGUUGUAGCCGUCGUAUGUGCAAUGACAAAGUAUUUUGGAACCAGGUGACUGUUAAGCAGUAUGCUAAGUGUGCAUAUUAGAACAGUCACUUAUAUUUUUAUUGUAAACGUGCAUAGUGUGUGUGCACAUGUCGAAGCCAUAGACUGUGCAGUCUUAAUCAUAGGUAUAAUUUUCCGGAUAAGGGUUUUUCUGUAAGCAUUGUCUAGAAUUAGCAGUACGUUAAGGUGUAGUGAAGCCGAGAGAAAAUAUUGUUAAAACGAAAUGCUUAAAGUACAUCCUGGAGAGUCCUAAGCACAUUUGGAUGACUUUAAUGCAUGUAGUAAAACAAGAAUGGGAACUGAGGUGGUUGAUCUUUGUUCGUUAUUACCAGAUGGCACCAACAAACAAUGAAGAGAAAAGAAAAGAGGAAGGGAAGUGAACUGGACCAAAGGGCAACUCGCUGUUUGUGGGAGCUGCAUUCACAUCGGCAUGAUGCAUGCAAUCUUCAAGCUAUAGGAGCAGCUCUCCUCCUGUUCACUUUGUUGCACAUUUGUAUUGUGUGUGUACUAGGUUUGGCCCUGGAAGUGUUAGGCAGUGCCACUUGUGGCCUUGGUGCUGGAUGCAACACAUCCUUCUAACCACAGGUGUCACGUAUUAUGUGAGCCUCAGUUCUUUUGAAUUCAUGUAACCAACAAAAGUUCCACUUGAAAGGAUGUGCCAUAUUCGCUGCCAUUGCCAUGAGUAGCACUGGCUGACAGUUACAGGGUGAGACAUUGAUUAACCUUGCUCAUCUAUUAUGCAAAACUAUUUCACAUACAAAUGUGGUAAUUAGUAUUCAUGCAAAAAGCCUCACAGAAUAACAUUUUUGAUCUGCAUGUAACAAUGAUUGUUACUUUGGUUUAACUCAGGGUGCCUUUCUACCUGUUCUGCAUUCUGUGGCUGACCACUCCAGCGAUCCCAGCAGAAUCGUUACACAGAUUGCUGUUUUCGGCUCAUCGUUGUCACCAUCUAGCACGUGUGCUACGUCUACAUCUCUAUCGAAUUUCCUGCUGGAUCCACCGCUACAAGCAGCUGACAGCAGCCUUGAUUAUCUCAGCAUGGAAGACGUCAUCUUCACGCCGGUAUCAAGUGGGACACGGACACUGCCGCCAGCGGCAGCACUGCAGCGCUUAGAUUUAAGCAACUGGCAUCAGCAAGGCGCUUCCAGUGGGCACGGGAGAGCAGCUACCAUGCGGUCGCUGCUAAGCUCUCCUUUCUGCUUUCUUAUGCAGAUUCGGCUGCCCGACACUCCAGAAGGACGUGGAGGACGGUCAGCCUCUCCCCGCAUCUACCACAGGUUGGAGGCUCGUUUCCGG